rnacentral:rRNA from 1 species
UGUGCCAGCAGCCGCGGUAAUACAGAGGUCUCAAGCGUUGUUCGGAAUUACUGGGCGUAAAGGGUGCGCAGGCUGCGCGGGAAGUCAAAUGUGAAAUUCAGGGGCUCAACCCCUGCAUUGCGCUUGAUACUUCCGCGCUCGAGCUUUGGAAAGGAGUCUGGAAUUCUCGGUGUAGCAGUGAAAUGCGUAGAUAUCGAGAGGAACACUAAGGGCGAAGGCAAGACUCUGGACAAAUGCUGACGCUCAUGCACGAAGGCUAGGGUAGCGAACGGGAUUAGAUACCCCGGUAGUCCUAGCUGUAAACGGUGCACGUUUGGUGUGGGAGGCAACCCCUUCCGUGCCGGAGCUAACGCGAUAAACGUGCCGCCUGGGUAGUACGGUCGCAAGACUAAAACUCAAAGAAAUUGACGGGGACCCGCACAAGCGGUGGAGUAUGUGGCUUAAUUCGAUGCAACGCGAAGAACCUUACCUGGGCUUGACAUGAAUUGUAACCCCGGUGAAAGCCGGGCAUGCGUGGAAACACGCGCUUUUCACAGGUGCUGCAUGGCUGUC